rnacentral:lncRNA from 1 species
GAGAAUUUCAAUGUCAUUAGCAAAAUGUCUCCAUGAAUGUUUUCGCUUUUUCGAGGAAUAACUGAAUUUUUAUAAUGAAAAAUUUCGAUGCAAUAAAAAAAGAUGGUGCUCUAUACCUUUUGGUGGACUGUAUCUCAUGCUUAAUAGUGUAUGGUAACAAUGUUAUAUGAAAAAUCGCCCUGUGAGCUCUACAAGUAUAAUUCAGACAUAACAUUUAUAUGGACGGCCAUCGUAGCGACUAUGAAUGCAAGCCCGAUAAUUCUCUCAGACGAUCAUAUAAACACCACAAAAAGUAUACAAAACAACACCAAUAAUAAAAAGAUGAAACAUUAAAUGUAAUCAUCUAUACAUAUAUCGUAUAACAUCUAUCCC